AUGCCCCUUAUGACCUGGGCUACACACGUGCUACAAUGGACAGAACAAAGGGCAGCGAAACCGCGAGGUUAAGCCAAUCCCACAAAUCUGUUCUCAGUUCGGAUCGCAGUCUGCAACUCGACUGCGUGAAGCUGGAAUCGCUAGUAAUCGCGGAUCAGCAUGCCGCGGUGAAUACGUUCCCGGGCCUUGUACACACCGCCCGUCACACCACGAGAGUUUGUAACACCCGAAGUCGGUGAGGUAACCUUUAGGAGCCAGCCGC
rnacentral:rRNA from 1 species